rnacentral:rRNA from 1 species
GAUGAACGCUAGCGGCAGGCUUAAUACAUGCAAGUCGAGGGGCAGCGCGGGUAGCAAUACCUGGCGGCGACCGGCAAACGGGUGCGGAACACGUACGCAACCUUCCCAAAACUGGGGAAUAGCCCUCCGAAAGGAGGAUUAAUACCCCGUAACAUAACGAAGUGGCAUCACUUUGUUAUUAUAGUUCCGACGGUUUGGAUGGGCGUGCGCCUGAUUAGGUAGUUGGCGGGGUAACGGCCCACCAAGCCUACGAUCAGUAACUGGUGUGAGAGCACGACCAGUCACACGGGCACUGAGACACGGGCCCGACUCCUACGGGAGGCAGCAGUAAGGAAUAUUGGUCAAUGGACGCAAGUCUGAACCAGCCAUGCCGCGUGAAGGAUGAAGGUCCUCUGGAUUGUAAACUUCUUUUAUAUGGGACGAAAAAAGGGCAUUCUUGCUCACUUGACGGUACCAUAGGAAUAAGCACCGGCUAACUCCGUGCCAGCAGCCGCGGUAAGGCACGACUGU